rnacentral:snRNA from 1 species
AGCUUUGCGCAGUGGCAGUAUCGUAGCCAAUGAGGUUUAUCCGAGGGGCGAUUAUUGCUAAUUGAAAAAAAAAAAAAAAAAAAAGAAUGCUCCUCAAACUCUCGCAAAAAAUUGAAGAGAAGGAACUAUAUUCAUUCUAUGA